CGUGGUAAAACUUACCAUUUUUUAUUAUGUAACAUUGGAGGUAAUAACAAGGGAAUAGUGACGUAGCAUCUGUAUCUACACUGCGUCACUGCCGUCAGGCCCGUCACUGUAUUACGUUUACCGUUUACGACACCAACGUUGAACAUUCAACACAUUAAUUAAUAUGUAUAAAAAUCGAAAACUGUUAUGUGUAAUGACGUACUAAAUACGAAUUCGACAACACACACAUAAUAAUAAUUAUCAUAAAUUAAAACCUUUUUUUUUUUUAGUAUAGUUAUAUGGAAUUAUGAAAAUAAUAAUAUCCGUUAUUUUAUUGAAAAAUGUAAUAACCAAUACAAUUUUUUUAGAGCAACACAUUUACAUAAACUACAUUUACUAAAUUUACAUUUAUUAAUUAUUGGUAAUAAGCUAAUAUUUGAUACUCUUAAAAGAUGAAAUUUCAUCUACUCCGUGAUUGAUACUUUUUCAUUAAAUGAAUUGUUUUCAAUACAGCUAUAUUUUUCUUAAUUUUUUCAUGAAAUUCAUUACAAACAAGUUAAACCAAAAUUAAUUUUACACACCAUUAUAGACCUCGUACAGUAUUUUCAUUGCUGGGAUAAUUAUUUAAUGAUACUAUGUACAAUGUAAUUCUAUGUUUUAUUUUAAUAUAAUAUUAAAGUUAUUUUCUCUCGGCUUCCAUUAACCGGGACAUGCUGUUAAAACCGGGACGAAUGGAAAGUUUAGAUUUAAAUUAUGUCAAUGGUAGUGAUAGUAGUAGUCUAUUCAAUAGUCUGUGGAAUUAACUCUAAUCGGCCUACAGUAACAAAUUUCGAUUUGAAUGGUUAAUGGUUACAAAGUGGUAAAAAAUUAGAAACACAAGGACUAGAUCCAACAAAAAUUGUUAACCAUUUGUAAUUAAUCUGUAUUUUUAUUAUAAGAUGAUUAUGAAUGAUGUCUUGAAAUCUGAAUCUAAUGAGCAAUGAGCUACAUUAGAACUUAGUAAUUUUGUAUUUGCGGCAAAUUUGGAUCUAUUUAAAAAAUUAUAUUUGUAUCAGUUUGUAGAGUUCGUGUCCAAUGUCCAUAAGCGCUAUUGGGGGGCAAAAUUUUGGUUACAAAACCAAAUGAUUUGUGCUUAAAAAUAGUUUAUUGUUGAAAAUUCACACAAGUAAAUUAUAAUAGCAAGUAUACAAAAUACAAGUAAUACACAUGUGCGCAGCUUGCUCUAGUUGCUAGUUGCUACACCUACACACUAGUACACUACACAGUAGUUCGUACACUAGAACACUGCUAAAAAAUAAUAACGAUUAACUUAGUGUAAACCAGUAUUUUUUUCAUAACCCCUAAAAUAACAUGAUAAUGAUCACAAUAAUAUACAUAUACCUAUAUUAUUAUAUUUUAUAUAUUUAUUUUUAUUAUUAUAUUUUAUAAUAUAUAAUUUCAUGAUACAAAAAUAAUUAUUGCACAAACAUUUUAAAUGCAUAGACCUGUGCCUUACUAAUUAAUACUGACUAUACUAUUUACUAACUACUGAGUAAUGAGUACUGAGUAUAAAUUACAAAGCCGUGGUAAUGUGGUAUAAUUGUAUAAAGUCUAUGUAUAUGAUUAUACGCACGAUUAUCCUAAAUCGUGAUUAUACGAGAUAACAUUGAUAACAAAGUCCUGAGAGACCGGAGUUCAUUCAUUCAUUGUCGUAGUUCUACGUUCUACUCAUAGUUUUUUAUUGAAAUUUUCUAAUUCUUAUAAGUUUAUUUCGUUUUAAAUUUUAAAUGUUAUUUAAAUACGUGUGUGAAGUUGGGUGACUAAAGUUAGGUGACUAUUUUUCGGACGAAUAGUGAUAAGAAACCCCGUAUACUUUGUUGCGUUUAAUUCAAUUUCAGGCGUACAGUAUUAUUACAUUAAAACCAUAAGGUAGAUGUCGCCUUAUGUCAUACAAUAAUUAAUUGUUUUAAAAGUAUAUAAAUAAAAUUCCUUUACCACGAUCAUGAACAUUAGAGUUAGAGAUGUUCAUGACCACGAUAUUUAUACCGAAUAUAUAUUGUAUUCAUAACAUAUUUGAAAUAAUAAUAAUAACAAUAAUAGAAAGUUAGGUUAUAAAUUGCUCUAGUGUUGAGACUCAAGUCUAAAAUGGUAAAAUCGUUGUUCUCGAGUUCUCGACUCAUUCUUCUCUAUUCGUAUAUUAUGCUUUCUAAUAAAUUAAUAUUGUUGUCUUUUUAGUUAAUACUAGCUUAUUAAAAUUUUAAGAAUACAAUUUGUUAAAAAUGAAAUACAUACUAGGUACAUCAAUCACGUUUUACGGAAGGACACAGGUAUGUGUAAUAUACGGUAGUAGUAUAUGGCUUAACCACGUUUUUGACUGAACUAAUUGUGAAGUUUGAUUGUUUGGAUAUAUGUAUUAAAUUAUGAAUACUUAAUUAAUGUAAAAACAUAACUAUGUAUGAAACAUACAUAUAAUAUACAUACAUACAUAUAAGUAUGAAACAUAGUAUCCAGUAAAUGUUAGAAUCUUUGAAGAAAUGUUCAUGUUUUGAAUAUUUCAACUCGCAAGCUGUUCCAAAAUAAGUUGGAUGACAUCAGUUAUCUAUCAGGAAUCAUUACCCAAGAAACAAAUGGCAUGCAGUCAACACAUCUAUCGUUUUAAUAUUAUGGCUCAAGAAUGUUUUAUUGAAUCUAUUAACAAACUCAGUUAUUGUUGUAUCCUUUACUUAAAAUGAAAAUUGUAUAAUGAGUAAUUAUGUACAAAAAAAUAAAUUAUAAAAUAAAGAUUUAUUUUAAAUAUGCGUUUA